GAGCAAAUUCCUCUUUUUUUCGUUUAUUUUUUUUUUCUUUUAUUUAUUUAGUUUUCCAGAUCCCUCUUGACUAGAUUAACACCCUGGAUGAGGGUGGGUGAGUGAGUUCUCGCCGUUAGAGCUGGCUGCAGAAAACAGCCUGGGUGCCUCCCCGCCGCUCUUUCUUGCUUUCUCUUUUGCCAGGCAGUCUCUGCGCAUGCUGGCUCCCCUUCACCUUCCCCCCUGAGUAGAAGUAGCCUCAGGCCCUCACUAGAAGCUGAGCAGAGACUGGUGCCAUGCUUCUUGUACAACCUGCAGAACCGUGAGCCAAAAAACCUCUUUUCUUUUAUUUACUUUUUUUUUUUUUUUUUUUGAGACAGGGUCUCACUCUAUUGCCCAGCCUGGAGUGCAGUGGCACAAUCAUGGCUUACUGCAGCCUCGA
rnacentral:lncRNA from 1 species